GAAAUGCGAUACGUAAUGUGAAUUGCAGAAUUCAGUGAAUCAUCGAGUCUUUGAACGCACAUUGCGCCCCCUGGUAUUCCGGGGGGCAUGCCUGUCCGAGCGUCAUUGCUGCCCUCAAGCACGGCUUGUGUGUUGGGCCCCGCCCCCCGGUCCCGGGGGGCGGGCCCGAAAGGCAGCGGCGGCACCGCGUCCGGUCCUCGAGCGUAUGGGGCUUUGUCACCCGCUCCGUAGGCCCGGCCGGCGCCCGCCGGCGACCCCCAAUCAAUCUAUCCAGCUUUACCUCGGAUCAGGUAGGGAUACCCGCUGAACUUAA
rnacentral:misc_RNA from 1 species